rnacentral:rRNA from 1 species
CCUACGGGAGGCUGCCGUGGGGAAUAUUGGACAAUGGGCGAAAGCCUGAUCCAGCCAUGCCGCGUGUGUGAAGAAGGCCUUCGGGUUGUAAAGCACUUUCAGUGGGGAAGAAAGCCUUGGGGCUAAUACCCUCGAGGAAGGACAUCACCCACAGAAGAAGCACCGGCUAACUCCGUGCCAGCAGCCGCGGUAAUACGGAGGGUGCGAGCGUUAAUCGGAAUUACUGGGCGUAAAGCGCGCGUAGGCGGUCUGAUAAGCCGGUUGUGAAAGCCCCGGGCUCAACCUGGGAACGGCAUCCGGAACUGUCAGGCUAGAGUGCAGGAGAGGAAGGUAGAAUUCCCGGUGUAGCGGUGAAAUGCGUAGAGAUCGGGAGGAAUACCAGUGGCGAAGGCGGCCUUCUGGACUGACACUGACGCUGAGGUGCGAAAGCGUGGGUAGCAAACAGGAUUAGAUACCCGAGUAGUC